CCUCUGGCCAAAUAGAUCCAAGUUUCGUUCAUGACUGCAAUGGAGAUUAUUAGAUGGGUGGCCUCCACAGAUAACCAAUUUUCCAUCCCUCUCUUCUCCAUUUCCUUCAGGAUAUCUCACACCUCCCUUCUAAAGUAUUGUUUGAUAGCACAAAUUCUCAGUUUUAUGAUGAGAUAGGUAUCUUCUGUCAAAGUGGGUCCAUUUUUGUGUUUCUGAUAAAAUUUCAUUGAAUCCUCUUGACUUGAACAUAACUUGCCCCACCUAGAUUGAUAUAUGUGAACUUUGGAACUUUGUUAUAAAUUUUACUUGUUCCUUUUCUUUACCCACAGCAGCCCGAGCCAGAAACCUGCUGCUCAAUAAUAUAAGUCCUAAUUCAUCUCCUCUAUGGAUUUAUUUUGACUCUCCCUGUAGUCCUUGGAAUUUAUCUUUACUUCUCUUGGUCUUCAUAAUGAUUCAUGUUUUAAUUGAACAUCUUUCCAACAUUUCUUUUUCAAUUCUUCCUACUUCCCAGAGUUACCUUUAUUAGUAAUCUAAACUGACACACCAAAAUACUAAUUAGUAAAUCUAAAAUUCAAAACAUGAUUACCUACUUGACAUUAUAUCCGCAUUAGAUAUUGUGAAAUUACGCUGCCUGCAGCAAUACCCAAUUUUUCAACUAUUUCUCCUCCAUUUUCUUCAUUGGAUAACAUAUAAUCCUCUGUUCUGGAUAGAUUUCCUGUAGAUACCAUUCAAUUUCAUAUACCAGUCCCUUUCCAGUAUUCUGUGGUAGGUUUCAAAUAGGUGGAGUUAAUUCUUUAUUUAAUGAUGAUAUGGGUAUGCUCAGGCUAUGUAGAUCCAAAUUUGUGCUCUGCAGAUAAUGCUAUUGGACCACAUUCACUUUAACAUGACUUGCCCUGAUCCACUAGGGCCAAAUGUGGUGUUUACAAAACUCUUGCCUUAAAUUUCAUUCUUCCUUCUUUUUUUUUUAAACCACAGCAACACCAAGUCCAGAGCUUGUUGCACAAGAACAUAAUUCCGACUUUAUACAAAAACUGUGGUUUGUUGUUCCUUAUCUUCCCUUACAAUCUACUUUCCUUUUGGUGAUUGCAGAUUAGCAUCCCAGUGUGGGGAAUCAGACAAAUCAUGAAGUCAAUCAGUCCAAUUUAGUGUCCCCUUUUCUGACCCUAGACUGGGAAAAACAGUUUGAAUUAGUUUCCAUUUUGUGUCUUUCCUGUUCUUCUUAGUAGGUGAAAGUUCUGUCAGGGAAAUAGAAGAGGUUAUACUUCAAAUACCUUCAAAGGAUUUAUUUAGGUAGGGCAAUGGCCUGAGAAAGUGUUCCACUCCAAUGAAAAGUCACACAUUCUUAGUGAAUUGAAUUGAUGCCUUUGUUAUUGUUUUCCUUUAUGUUACACUAUUAGGGAGGUCUUGUAAGGACAAAUUACCAUCCCUUUUUCUGACCCAGGCCUCAGAAAAAUAGCUUGGAUUAGUUUCCAUUAUUUGCCUUUUGGGUUCUUAUUAGUAGAUAAAAAACCUGUGAUGGAAACAAAAGAGGCUGAACUCGCAUUUCUAUUAACUUUGAAGGUUUCAUUUAGAUAUACCAAAGGUUUACUGCAUAGGGCAUAUCAAAGAAAUAGGUCACAAAUCAUUAACAAAAUUGUGUUUUCCUAGUUCAGUCAUAAUGCUUGCAUUAUGUCCUCCAGGUACCUCUUUUUCAAUUGAUUCUACCUCCAUGGUUAUCUCCAUUAUGCACAUAGAAUUCAAGAGAUGAUAGAUUAUUUUAUAUUAUUAUCACAAUAGAUAUUGUAAGAUCUGACUGAUCACACUACUGUCUAAUUUUCCAUCAAUUUUGUCUCUAUUUGAUUCACUUUUCAAAGCUCCAGUAUUUAAUAUGUUAUGAAAGUUUCAAAAUGGAAGUUAGGAAUUCUUUGUUUUAUAAGUGGAUGUGUAAUGUCUGGUCAGGUGGAUGCUUGUAUUCCUGAUAGAGUCCCAAUGGGACUCUUAAUCACAGAUUGCCCUUAUCCACAACUGAAAACUCUUGAGAUGCAGAGGACUCUUGCCCUAAAAAUCAUUCUUUCCUUUUCUUUUUUUCUACCCACAGAAGCCCCAAGCCAGCAACCUGCUGAACCUGAACAAGCCUCAAGCCAACAAUCUGAGAAACCUGAAUGUAACAUGUCUAUUCUUAAAGUCUUUUUUCCUGUUUUCUUGAGGCCCCUGGACUUUGUCUCUUAUUAUACACCACUUAGUCCUCUACAGUCUU